rnacentral:rRNA from 1 species
UACAGAGGGUGCAAGCGUUGCUCGGAAUUAUUGGGCGUAAAGGGCGCGUAGGUGGCGCUGUAAGUCGGGUGUGAAAUUUCGGAGCUUAACUCCGAAACUGCAUUCGAUACUGCGGUGCUUGAGGACUGGAGAGGAGACUGGAAUUCAUGGUGUAGCGGUGAAAUGCGUAGAUAUCUGGAGGAAUACCGGUGGCGAAGGCGGCAUCCUGGACCGACAUUGACGCUGAUGAGCGAAAGCUAGGGGAGCAAACGGG